rnacentral:lncRNA from 1 species
CCAUGUCAUACUUAAUUAACAGAGUGCAUGAACUAUUAUAGCUUGCAUAAACUAAGGUGACUUUUUACUAUUGUGUAUAUGCGCGUUCAAGCUGGCAUACACUAAUUAAGAUCACAAGAAACAUAGUCAUGAUUCUGAUUUGUAAUGAAGAUAUUAAAUAUGAAAUUGUUGGAGGGUAUGUUCUAGUAUUUAUAUUUAAGUAGUGCCUUCUGUUUCAUGGUGAUACAUUUUUGGUUCUCCUAGUCUGAACAUAUCUAAAAUGCAAUCUGUACACGAUGAACCAAUGAAGAAAGAAACUUCAGAGUUCAGCUUGUACCUUAAUAACCUUGCAUUGCAUCGACACACUACUAGAGUGGUCAUCACCCUUUUGUUCCUGUGUUCUGAUUUGGCUUGUACCUUGAUAACUGUGAACUAAUUUUAAGCCAUGUGUAUAGACUAAAUUUGUAGUUCUCAUGCAAGCUGUCAUCUUGUUCUCAUAUAUACUGCUUCAUUUCAUUAUUGUUUCCUGUUAUAAAUAAUAGUACUAUGAUGGUCAAGUCAGCAGCAAGUAUUGUUACUAUAAAGAUUUAAGAAUUUUGGACAUGUAAUUCUUUUUUAUCUUUGUUGUAAUUCUCUUUUUUGUACUAUCUAUUCAUAUCUGUAAGUAUCUAAUAUUCUUGUAAAUAUGCUAG